rnacentral:lncRNA from 1 species
CACUGACAUCAUUUAGGUGCAUUUUCAGUCAUCCUGACUUUUGUCUUGCCACAGGAUUUAGAUGACUCUGGAAGAAAGAGUGAGGCUGACAACUCUGGGCAACUCACUUAAAUCCAAUUCACACAUAAGUUAAGAUAUUACCCUGUGAUGUCACUGGUAUUCUUUGAAAUGAAGGGUCACCACCACCACCACCAAUUGAUGGAACAUAUUUUUUAUUGACUGAAUCAUCCUUUUAUCUUCUUAAAUCUAGCUUUGUUUUAAACUGCCCUUGCAGCUGGCUAAUAUUUUCUUGUAGAUUCCAUAUGAUCAGUUUUUCAGGAGGAAGCUCAAAAAUUAUCUAUUUAAUCCAUUCAUUUUGUAGGUGAGGAAAAUGAAGCCCAGAGAAUACAUAUAGAUGACUAGCUCCCCUGCUAAGACUUCAAGUGUCUUGCCUCUAAAUCCAAUGCUCUAUGUUCUUACCUCUGCAUGAUAAUAUAGAGGGUCAUUAGCAAUAGGAAGCAAUUAAAGGUUGCUGUUGCCUCUGGUUAAACCUAGGAAGAAACUUAUACUGUUCUACUCAUUGAAUUAUUCAUAUUCUUAGAUAUCACAAUUAAAAAAGAACCAGUAGAAGAAUUAGUAGAAGAGGAGAUCAGCAGUGGCAAACCUGCAAUGGGAAAAGCUAUAAUGCAGUUUUCCUGGUUUUGCAAUGUCCAAGGAUACAAUUGGAGGAACUUCUUUUGUUUUAAAAAACAUGAUAAACAAGUACAGAAUGUGCGCAAGCAGGAAGAAACUGACCUAAAGUGCAUUGGCAUCACUAAGAAGAGAGAUCGCAAGAAAAUCCUUAAGGGAAUUAAGAAAAUUCAACAGACAGAAAAAAAUUAAUACAAUCUAACAAUUAAAUAUAUCAAAAAGAUAAUUCUGGAAGAUACAGCAAAAAUGAGAAAAAUAUAAUUACAUGAUAUUUACCUUUAAUCUACUACUUCAACAUAUUAUUGAAACCUUCUGAUUCUUCUGCCAUGAAUCUAGCACACAUUUACUGAGGAGCAGUGAUGGAUGGAAUGACCAUAUAAGCCAAGAGAUUUUGGUGGACCACUGAUCAAGGUGUUCCAAAGAUGAUCAUUCAUUCACUCAUUUCUGCCUUAGCCUGAAAAAGAGCAUCCUGUUUGUUGCACUCUGGAUUCCUUUUUUAUCUUUGGUCCUAGGCUUUUCAGCCUUUGUCUACCAAUUCUUAUGUUGUGUAUACCUUAGAGAAUAAUUACCAUGAUGUAUAUCCCCAAUUAAUUCACUAUGCAAUUUUGAAAAUAAAAACUCUGUCUGCUCUUUGAUGCCUACCUUC